UACGAAGGGAGCUAGCGUUGUUCGGAAUCACUGGGCGUAAAGCGCACGUAGGCGGAUGUGUCAGUCAGGGGUGAAAUCCCAGAGCUCAACUCUGGAACUGCCUUUGAUACUGUCGAUCUAGAGUAUGGAAGAGGUGAGUGGAAUUCCGAGUGUAGAGGUGAAAUUCGUAGAUAUUCGGAGGAACACCAGUGGCGAAGGCGGCUCACUGGUCCAUUACUGACGCUGAGGUGCGAAAGCGUGGGGAGCAAACAGG
rnacentral:rRNA from 1 species